GCAACCACUUUAAUUUUCUUUAUUAGGAAGGAUGAGCUCCAUGUGGGCAGAAUUCAAAUGAUGUGGACAGCGCUGUGAAGGAGCCACAGGCAGCCCCUAGAGCCUUAGAGAUGGCGCCAAAAACCAAGAAGGGAUUGAAAGGCUCCAUAGAUGAUGUCCUUGGUGACCUCCUAGGGGAUGACAUGACACCACCUGA